rnacentral:rRNA from 1 species
GUACACUCCUGCGGGAGGCAGCAGUGGGGAAUUUUGGACAAUGGGCGAAAGCCUGAUCCAGCAAUGCCGCGUGAGUGAAGAAGGCCUUCGGGUUGUAAAGCUCUUUUGUCAGGGAAGAAACGGUGAAAGCUAAUAUCUUUUGCUAAUGACGGUACCUGAAGAAUAAGCACCGGCUAACUACGUGCCAGCAGCCGCGGUAAUACGUAGGGUGCAAGCGUUAAUCGGAAUUACUGGGCGUAAAGCGUGCGCAGGCGGUUUUGUAAGUCUGAUGUGAAAUCCCCGGGCUCAACCUGGGAAUUGCAUUGGAGACUGCAAGGCUAGAAUCUGGCAGAGGGGGGUAGAAUUCCACGUGUAGCAGUGAAAUGCGUAGAUAUGUGGAGGAACACCGAUGGCGAAGGCAGUCCCCUGGGUCAAGAUUGACGCUCAUGCACGAAAGCGUGGGGAGCAAACAGGAUUAGAUACCCGUGUAGUCCC